rnacentral:lncRNA from 1 species
CGGAGUCUCCCUCUGUCGCCCAGGCUGGAGUGCAGUGGCGCGAUCUCGGCUCACGGCAAGCUCCGCCUCCCGGGUUCACGCCAUUUUCCUGCCUCAGCCUCCUGAGUAGCUGGAACUACAGGCGCCGCGCCACCACUCCCGGCUAAUUUUUUUAUUUUAUUUUAUUUUUUAUUUUUAGUAGAGACGGGGUUUCACCGUAGCCAGAAUGGUCUUGAUCUCCUGACCUCGUCAUCCGCCCGCCUCGGCCUCCCAAAGUGCUGGGCUUACAGGCGUGAGACACUGCGCCCGGCCCAUACUACUACUUUUUUGGACACACAUGACAUUUGGUGCCAAAACCUGGACAGGAAGACUCCUUCAGGAGACUGGUACCCUGUCCUCGUCAUCACUCCGUGAGGCAAUCCACCUAUGACCUUGGGUCCUCAGACCCACCAGCCCAAGGAACAUCUCACCAAUUUCAUAUCGGGUAAGCAGUCUUUUCACUUUCUUCUCCAGCCUCUCUUGCUACCCUUCAAUCUCCCUGUCCUUCCAAUUCCAGUUCUUUUUCCUCUCUAGUAGAGACAAAGGAGACACUUUGUAUCCGUGGACCCAAAACUCCGGCGCCAGUCAUGGACUCAGGAAGACAGUCUUCCCUUGGUGUUUAAUCACUGCAGGGAUGCCUGCCUGAUUAUUCACCCACACUCCACUGGUGUCUGAUCACUGUGGGGACACCUGCCUUGGUCAUUCACCCACAUUCCCUUGGUGGCA